GCUCUCCAUUUUCUGGUUUCCUCAUCUGGGUUUUCCUCCGCCUUCAUCGUUGUGCGCCCUGUUUUCUAUCAAUUUCUUUUUUUUGGUUUCACAAAAUUACCUCCGGGCGGACACGUUCUUUGAUUUUUGGAAUAGUUGUUGGCUGUUCUUCUCUGUUUUUGGGUGCGAACCGUAUCGAUUUCGUCUUUUUCGCCGUUUUGUUAACUGAUUUUCGCUCAAUUUUGGGUGAUCUUUGUAUUCAAGUGAUCGUCAGACAAAUCGUAUUCAGUUUGGUUGAAAGAAUUGACGGCUAAGUUACUAAUAAAGCAAAGACUGAGCCAUGGUGAGACACAAGCUUUCGUUACACCCUGCAAACUGGUGGUAGUCUUGGUUUAGCAAUUGGCAGCGAGAUUACACUCCUCACUACGUUGUAAAUUCGACUGACUCAUUCUAUAAGAAUUGUUUCAGUUUGUGUUUACGGUUUCCAUUCAAUGUAAUCCCUCUUCUCAGUUUCUUUUCAGAAUUGAUUUCUAUUCCAAUUUCGCAAUGUUUAUAUUUUUCACCAUGUUGGAAGUUUAAGGGUCUUUUUAGUAAUGAAUCUUCUUCCUUAUAGUUUGAAAACCCGCAACACCGCGCGGGCACUCUUGCUAG
rnacentral:sRNA from 1 species